rnacentral:rRNA from 1 species
GACGAACGCUGGCGGCGCGCUUAACACAUGCAAGUCGAACGGAAAGGCCUGCUUUCCCUUGUGGAUUGCGGGUACUCGAGUGGCGAACGGGUGAGUAACACGUGAGUGAUCUGCCCCCAACUUGGGUAUAAGCCUGGGAAACUGGGUCUAAUUCCCGAUAGGACUGCAGGGUGGUGCCUGUGGUGGAAAACGAUUUUCUAGUGGUUGGGGAUGAGCUCGCGGCCUAUCAGCUUGUUGGUGGGGUAAUGGCCUACCAAGGCGGCGACGGGUAGCCGGCCUGAGAGGGUGGACGGCCACAUUGGGACUGAGAUACGGCCCAGACUCCUACGGGAGGCAGCAGUGGGGAAUAUUGCACAAUGGGCGGAAGCCUGAUGCAGCGACGCCGCGUGGGGGAUGACGGCCUUCGGGUUGUAAACUCCUUUCGACCGCGAGGAAGCCACCUGGUUGGAAGGGUGGUGACGGUAGUGGUAGAAGAAGUACCGGCUAACUACGUG